rnacentral:rRNA from 1 species
AAUACAUGCAAGUCGAGCGGACCGACGGGAGCUUGCUCCCUUUAGGUCAGCGGCGGACGGGUGAGUAACACGUGGGUAACCUGCCUGUAAGACUGGGAUAACUCCGGGAAACCGGGGCUAAUACCGGAUGCUUGAUUGAACCGCAUGGUUCAAUCAUAAAAGGUGGCUUUCAGCUACCACUUACAGAUGGACCCGCGGCGCAUUAGCUAGUUGGUGAGGUAACGGCUCACCAAGGCGACGAUGCGUAGCCGACCUGAGAGGGUGAUCGGCCACACUGGGACUGAGACACGGCCCAGACUCCUACGGGAGGCAGCAGUAGGGAAUCUUCCGCAAUGGACGAAAGUCUGACGGAGCAACGCCGCGUGAGUGAUGAAGGUUUUCGGAUCGUAAAACUCUGUUGUUAGGGAAGAACAAGUACCGUUCGAAUAGGGCGGUACCUUGACGGUACCUAACCAGAAAGCCACGGCUAACUACGUGCCAGCAGCCGCGGUAAUACGUAGGUGGCAAGCGUUGUCCGGAAUUAUUGGGCGUAAAGCGCGCGCAGGCGGUUUCUUAAGUCUGAUGUGAAAGCCCCCGGCUCAACCGGGGAGGGUCAUUGGAAACUGGGGAACUUGAGUGCAGAAGAGGAGAGUGGAAUUCCACGUGUAGCGGUGAAAUGCGUAGAGAUGUGGAGGAACACCAGUGGCGAAGGCGACUCUCUGGUCUGUAACUGACGCUGAGGCGCGAAAGCGUGGGGAGCGAACAGGAUUAGAUACCCUGGUAGUCCACGCCGUAAACGAUGAGUGCUAAGUGUUAGAGGGUUUCCGCCCUUUAGUGCUGCAGCAAACGCAUUAAGCACUCCGCCUGGAGACCUCCGUCG